CAAGUAGCGGAGCAUGUGGUUUAAUUCGAAGCAACGCGAAGAACCUUACCUAAGCUUGACAUCCCAAUGACAUCUCCUUAAUCGGAGAGUUCCCUUCGGGGACCUUGGUGACAGGUGGUGCAUGGUUGUCGUCAGCUCGUGUCGUGAGAUGUUGGGUUAAGUCCCGCAACGAGCGCAACCCUUGUCUUUAGUUGCCAUCAUUAAGUUGGGCACUCUAGAGAGACUGCCAGGGAUAACCUGGAGGAAGGUGGGGAUGACGUCAAAUCAUCAUGCC
rnacentral:rRNA from 1 species